AGUUAUUCAUUUAAUUGCUCUGCAAAAAGAAAAAUAACCUUUAUUCCUGCAGUUACUCAUCUCCCUAAUCUCAAGGGCUUCCAUUCUGAAGCUGGUGCUUCUUGCUAGUAAGAUUUUCUAAACCUUGUUAAAUUUGUAUUUCUUGAUCAUAUACUGUGUGUAUGUAUUGCUGCUGUUAUUACUCGUUGAACGGAGUUUUUGGUCUAAAGGUGAGAACUUUAUCCACUAUGAGAAAAUCUUGAAAUGAUUUUAAUUGGGGUGUAAUUUAUGGACUUUGAUUAGUUUUGUCAAAUUUUAUGUUGGUCUUUUGCAUUGGAGAAUACCUGAGUACUGUCAUUGCAGCUAAAUUUUCCCAAUAAAAUUAAUCUGAGUUUUCGGCAAUAAUAAUGCAAAAGGGCCAAAGGGGGAUUGUUUAGAGCAAAUUAAAUAUAUAACAGGGAUGUAUAAAGUCAAUCAUAAAAUCCAUGUGCUGUAGCUGAGUCAAGUAGUUGAUUAAGUGAUGUGAGGAUCUGCUUAGCUAAAUCAUUUUCAAGAAAUGAAGCCUUCGUAAACUCAUUGUUGAGUUCUAGCUUCGUGAAGCCUGUGGAGGUUGCUGCGAAGGAAUCCUUGUGCCUAUAGUUACUAGUAUUGCAAUCUAGGGGAUGCAUGUUAUAUUGUCUCCUGUGAAGAGAGGGGGGGUUUGGUCCUCAAAGAAGGAUUGUGUGUGCAGGUAUUUUGUAACUGACCUUUACCAUAAAGAAAAUUAAAUUAUCGCAUUUUAAUUGAAUGCUUUUUCUGCAUUUUAAAAGUUCUUAUAAUUUUAGCUUAGCACUUGUAGCUAGUGAGUUAUCACAUAUUAAUAUAUCAUUGGUUUUUAAAAAGAAAAUCAAAAGACAAAUUUUGUCGAUGAAGUGAUAGUAUAUUAUCAAGAUGUAGCACUAGCAGUAUAUGUAUAAUCAAUCAAAUGAGGCAUUUUUAUAGCAAAAGAGGCAAGAUAAUGAUCAUGAGAUCCUGAAGGUCAAUAUUGAUAAGGAGUGAGAAAUAAAUUAAAAGGGGUCUUUUAUAUUUACUAGUGAGUAGUUUAUUUCUAUUUAGGUUUGGAAAUUAGUGUAAUUUAUUUGAUUAUAUAUGCGGGGCUAGUAGAUUAUUAUAUAAGUAAUUAUUGAUAAGAAUCUCAAUUGUUUACAAGUCCAUUAGAUUAUGUUUCAGGGUUUCUAAUCUAUAUAUAAGCAAUAAGAUAUAUAAUACCCACGAAUUAUUUACACUUGAUCGUCAGAAUAUAUUGAAAUACUGAAUCAGGUCUCCUUAGGAGUUGCAAUCCAUAGUAACUCUCCCUUCUUCAAGUAGCAGGUUUUCUAUGGUUAAUUCAGCUAAAAUUAUCUUUUGUAUGUUCAUAUAUCCAUUGUUCUACAUAUUGUCCUGCAUCAAAUCGUAUUAAGAACUUCCGGAGAUCUUAGUUUUUCAACAAAAAACACCUGAGAAAACACUACCUUUUCCAGAGUUACUAAUUCAUGCAGAUGCUAUUCAUCAACAGUACUGUUCAUGAACAGGUACUGUUAAUGGGAGCGAUUAAAAGAGAGAAAAAGGUCAGGAAUAAUGUAGAGAGAGGAGGGAGUGGUGGUAGCUGCAUAAAAAAAAAUGUGGUAACCCUAAUCCGUUUCAUUAUAUAUUUAGUAAAACUAUAGUUAGGUGCCUCAAAGUUUAUAGAAAUAUACAAAUCAGUCCCUGAUGUGGACUGCAUCACCAUGCUGAAUUAGGAAGCAAAAGCAUGUGAUUAUGGUAUAGUGCAUGGUGACGCUCAAAUCUGCAUGAUCACACUGCUUACGUUUAAUGUAAUACCUCGAUUUGUAUAAUUGAGUGACUUGUUAAGUUGAAAACUUUUUGUUUUGAAGGCAUUAUUUGGCUUAUUAUCAUUAAUUUUAUUAUUCAAGUUGCAUAGUCUGAUUUCAUUGAACCUUGAUUAAUUUACUUAAUAUUUCCACUUAAGUUCUAUGAUAUAUACAUGCGGUUGCGCAUAGGCAGGAUAUAUUACUAGUAUCUAUAAUAUGCCAACAUAUCAUGUUUUAAUUUUAAAGCUAGUAGUAAUAAGUAUAUAUUUAGGCGAUCAAUUGCUUGUAUAACAAAAUGACUAGGUACUUAAGUUGGGUUCUUGGUGUUUGUGGCAGUAUUAUUUCAUGGUUAAUAGGGUGACUGCAAGUUAAGAAUUAUGGAUUUAUGGAUGAAACUCUAGUUGUUGGGCCUUCAAGGUACCAAGCCACAAGUUGGGCCUAGUCAGUACUCUUUUGACUUUAGUCAAAAUACGCCGUUAUGUAAAAAGAAUUUUGGCAAGCAUUUAAUGGUUUAAUUCAUGUUCUUUUAUGAGGGAAUUCAAGAGAUAAAGCCAAGAGAAGUGGAGUAACAUAUGCCGGAAGAGUGUCUGCGUGGUUUUCUGGUAGUAGAACUCGGAAUGAGUAUUUUUUUUCCUUUUGAUAAAUAUCAUGGUACGGUCUUGUUUAGUUGAAUCGAUAGAAAGUCUAGGCUGCUAGGAUAAUAAGUGCACCCUAUGUCAUAUUAAAACCGAAUGCCCAUGAGCAAAGUUUUAGAAGCAAGAGUCGCUUGUCCUAGCACGAACCUGUAUUCCGUAGUGAUUAUCUUUGAAAGGUGAUUUUACAUUCUAAAAUUAUUUUUUUAGGUCAUCAAAUUCUAUAUUUAUAAUAUGAAUAUAAUCGGCAAUUAUGUUGUGGAAUGCUCAUGAACUGUUGUCUUUAUCAUGUCUUGGCAAAAUGGUUUUGCUAACGUGUUUUAUGUUUAAUAUAAUAUAAAAAACAAUUGUAUUAGUGUAGGAAAUCAUAUUCUAAACCUGGGGAAUGUGGCUUGCCAAGCCAAUGUUAGCAAUUUAUUAACCUAAAUGGUAUUUGCUUACAACAUUAAAGAACAUAUAUGACCCAAAUCUUAGACUUGCAUUGGUUAUCUGGCUAGGUGACUAUGCAUGUCUAUCCUCUCAAAGUUGUGAGGCUUGCCCUCUGCUGCCUGUUUCUGUAUUUCAUGAUCAUAAUUCAUUCUAGAUAGUCUGGUUCUUCUCUAGUAUUGCUUACAGCUUACAAGUAGUAUACGAAGAAUUUAUACUGAAAAUAUAAAUAUAAGAUGCAUAAAUAACCCAUGUAUUAUGAUGCAUAAGGAAUCUGGACAUGACAGAAUACAACCCUCAAAUAUAUUUUAUCAAUACUACCGUCAUUGUAUUCUAAGAAAAAUGAUGUUUCCUAUCUUCUUCUGCAGACGCAUGGUACGAAAACGGGUGUUUGACAUUCAAAAUUACAUUUUCUGCUUUAGGAAGGAUUACUCUAUGUUACCUGGACUCUUCAUUUUGCAUGGAUUACCUGUAUCGGACAUUUGGCACCCAGACAUAGAUAUGGACAACUAGGACACUUAUUUUAAGCUAUUUAUAUGUGAAAUAUACAAAAUUUUGGGAGUCCAACAGUUUGACACGGUAUCCAUGUGGACACUUUUAGCUGAGUCCAGAUAACAAAGGGAUUACUCAUGAAAGGUCAUCUGUGAUCUACACAGGCUGUUCAACAAAUUUUCCGGUUUGAUCAAUGAUUUUAUGCCAGUUUGUGCUUUUAUUGACUACAUAGUUAUCUAUAAAAUUAAUGAUUUUCAGUGUUUAAUAGGCUAUACAGUAUGGUGUCUCGUCCCUGCAUUGGCUGGUAUAGUCAUGUUGCUGAACAAGAUCAUGGGUCCAAGUCUCAGGAACAAGGGAGCUAUUCUAGGAUGUUUACCUUGGUUUAGUUGAAUGCAAUAGAAAGGUAUUCUGACAAGAAGGCAUCACUAGUUUUAUCAUGGUUAUGCCGCCAACCUGUGCUCAGGACUACCCUAGUCGCUUUAUGUAAUUUAACUCCCUUUGAGCAGUUUUCAGUUACUACAUUCCUACCUGAUUUACAACCUCAAACUUAGUGAAUCCUGCUCUAGAUGCAAAUGUGGAUAACAUAGUUAUGUAACUGCACAUUCUUGCAACAAGCCAGUCAAUGUUGUCAGCUUGUCUGGUAUCGCAGGAAAGCUCCUUUGUUUGGUUGUUCAACACGAAAAAGCAGUACAAUCCCUACAUUUCCUUCAGUAGGGUUGAGUGACCCUGAAAGAUGGUUAGAUGGCGAUUAUGUUACAGUACACGACAAUGUUGAGAAAGUGUUCAGUGUCUUUGACUGGCUCUGUUUUGUGGAUAUCAUUUUCUUUCCCUUGUCGCUCAAGCCUGAUACAUAAUAGUGUUCGAAUGUCAAUUGUUUCUGGACUGACAUCACUAAUAUUUAAGGUGAAUCGCCUUUUUUCUCCAUGAGAAUGUCAAACCGCUAACUCAGUUCCCGCCCUCUCUCACGUCGGCAAAAAUAUCUCGAGUUGGGAGGAAUUGCUAAUUUGCUGAGACGAAGAACCUACUUUUUCCUUUUGUGCAUGUGCUUAUGGUAUUCGUAUGUGGAAACGAUAUAGUUUAUCGGGUGAUAUCAAUUCCAAAUUUUGCCAAUGUAAUUGUUGAUCGAAUAAUAUCAUUUCUAAAUUAUUUUAUUGUAGUCAGUAACCCGUCGGUAUUCUGAAUUUCUGAGUAAUCAGUUGCCGAAUCGGAGAUUAUUUAGUUAUUCAACCGUUUAAUCUUCGAUCAA